UACGUAGGGUGCGAGCGUUGUCCGGAAUUAUUGGGCGUAAAGAGCUUGUAGGCGGUUUGUCGCGUCUGCUGUGAAAAUCCGGGGCUCAACCCCGGACUUGCAGUGGGUACGGGCAGACUAGAGUGUGGUAGGGGGAGACUGGAAUUCCUGGUGUAGCGGUGAAAUGCGCAGAUAUCAGGAGGAACACCGAUGGCGAAGGCAGGUCUCUGGGCCACUACUGACGCUGAGGAGCGAAAGUGUGGGGAGCGAACAGG
rnacentral:rRNA from 1 species